rnacentral:lncRNA from 1 species
AAAAAAAAUUGCUACUUGAUAAUUUGGGCUGGCUAUUAUAAAAGGAUCAUGAUCAGAUCUCUUCUAGAUCUAGCUGUGCUGAAUGAGGAUGUUACUAUGCUCAGCUCCCUAAACCUGUAAUCUGCUAGCUGGAAGUUGCCAUUCAAACAGCUGUGCUGGACAAAGAGCUGUGCCUUAUCCAUUUCAGGCAAAGGACUGACUAAGAAGAAAGAAACAGAGCUACUACUCCUAUAUAACUUAAAGGUUAUGAGGGAUUCACACCAAAAAAUUGAUGAUGAAGGCAUAGUUUUUACUGGCCAAAAAUGAUGGGAUCUGAUAAGUAAUGGACAAUAUGAUGGACAUAAAAAGCAGUUACAGCAUCAGCUUCUUUCAUGUGAUGUUCCAAACAAACCAACACAUCUUAACUACACCAUUGCCCUGGGACACUGAGAAAAUCAAGUGCUACGGGACUAAGUGUUUUCCAAUUUAUAUCAAGUAUGACAGUGUGUUAAUACAAAAAUGUUGA